CUACGGGGAGGCAGCAGUAGGGAAUCUUCCACAAUGGACGCAAGUCUGAUGGAGCACGCCGCGUGAGUGAAGAAGGUUUUCGGAUCGUAAAGCUCUGUUGUUGGUGAAGAAGGAUAGAGGCAGUAACUGGUCUUUAUUUGACGGUAAUCAACCAGAAAGUCACGGCUAACUACGUGCCAGCAGCCGCGGUAAUACGUAGGUGGCAAGCGUUGUCCGGAUUUAUUGGGCGUAAAGCGAGCGCAGGCGGAAUGAUAAGUCUGAUGUGAAAGCCCACGGCUCAACCGUGGAACUGCAUCGGAAACUGUCAUUCUUGAGUGCAGAAGAGGAGAGUGGAAUUCCAUGUGUAGCGGUGGAAUGCGUAGAUAUAUGGAAGAACACCAGUGGCGAAGGCGGCUCUCUGGUCUGCAACUGACGCUGAGGCUCGAAAGCAUGGGUAGCGAACAGGAUUAGAUACCCUGGGUAG
rnacentral:rRNA from 1 species